rfam:Arabis alpina cultivar Pajares scaff_43254_1_contig_3, whole genome shotgun sequence.
GGAUCCCAUCAGAACUCCGCAGUCAAGUGUGCUUGGGCGAGAGUAGUAGUAGGAUGGGUGACCUCCUGGGAAGUCCUCGUGUUGCACCCC